UGGGGAAUAUUGCACAAUGGGGGAAACCCUGAUGCAGCGACGCCGCGUGAGCGAAGAAGGCUUUCGAGUCGUAAAGCUCUGUCCUAUGAGAAGAUAAUGACGGUAUCAUAGGAGGAAGCCCUGGCUAAAUACGUGCCAGCAGCCGCGGUAAUACGUAUGGGGCGAGCGUUGUCCGGAAUUAUUGGGCGUAAAGGGUACGUAGGCGGUUUUUUAAGUCAGGUGUCAAGGCGUGGAGCUUAACUCCAUUAAGCACUUGAAACUGAAAGACUUGAGUGAAGGAGAGGAAAGUGGAAUUCCUAGUGUAGCGGUGAAAUGCGUAGAUAUUAGGAGGAAUACCGGUGGCGAAGGCGACUUUCUGGACUUUUACUGACGCUCAGGUACGAAAGCGUGGGGAGCAAACAGG
rnacentral:rRNA from 1 species